rnacentral:misc_RNA from 1 species
GAAAUGCGAUAAGUAAUGUGAAUUGUAGAAUUCAGUGAAUCAUCGAAUCUUUGAACGCACAUUGCGCCCGCCAGUAUUCUGGCGGGCAUGCCUGUCCGAGCGUCAUUUCAACCAUCAAGCCCCCGGGCUUGUGUUGGGGACCUGCGGCUGCCCGCAGGCCCUGAAAACCAGUGGCGGGCUCGUUGUCACACCGAGCGUAGUAGCAAUCACCUCGCUAAGGGCGUGCUGCGGGUUCCGGCCGUUAAACAGCCUUACAAAACCCAAGGUUGACCUCGGAUCAGGUAGGAAGACCCGCUGAACUUACGC